rnacentral:lncRNA from 1 species
CUUGCAAAUGGACUAUUAGGAGCACUUUUUGUAGAUCCAUUGUCACUUUUAUUAGAAACAGAUCCGUUGCCCACUUCCUGUUCAUUUGUAGUCUGAGGUUUUUCUGACUUAUCAUCACUCUUAGGUGACGCUACAAAUUUUGGACUGUCAAUAUCCAGAGCUUUCGUGUUCCCAGCCUUAUCAUCACUCUUAGGUGACGCUACAAAUUUUGGACUGUCACUAUCCAAAGCUUUUGUGUUCACAGCCUUUGGUAACUUUUGUUUUGGAGGUGCUAUGGUGUUUUUCACAUCAA